AUUGAACGCUGGCGGCAGGCCUAACACAUGCAAGUCGAGCGGAUGAAGGGAGCUUGCUCCUGGAUUCAGCGGCGGACGGGUGAGUAAUGCCUAGGAAUCUGCCUGGUAGUGGGGGAUAACGUCCGGAAACGGGCGCUAAUACCGCAUACGUCCUGAGGGAGAAAGUGGGGGAUCUUCGGACCUCACGCUAUCAGAUGAGCCAAGGUCGGAUUAGCUAGUUGGUGGGGUAAAGGCCUACCAAGGCGACGAUCCGUAACCGGUCUGAGAGGAUGAUCAGUCACACUGGAACUGAGACACGGUCCAGACUCCUACGGGAGGCAGCAGUGGGGAAUAUUGGACAAUGGGCGAAAGCCUGAUCCAGCCAUGCCGCGUGUGUGAAGAAGGUCUUCGGAUUGUAAAGCACUUUAAGUCGGGAGGAAGGGCAGUAAGUUAAUACCUUGCUGUUUUGACGUUACCAACAGAAUAAGCACCGGCUAACUUCGUG
rnacentral:rRNA from 1 species